rnacentral:rRNA from 1 species
CGGGAAGAGCUCAAAUUUAAAAUCUGGCGGUGUAUUCCGUCCGAGUUGUAGUCUAGAGAAGCAUCAUCCGUGCUGGACCAUGUACAAGUCUCUUGGAAUAGAGCGUCAUAGAGGGUGAGAGCCCCGUC